rnacentral:rRNA from 1 species
UGAGCAAUCUGCCCUUCUCUUCGGAAUAAGCGUUGGAAACGACGUCUAAUGCCGAAUACGACCUCCUUUCGCAUGAUCGGAGGUGGAAAGCUCCGGCGGAGAAGGAUGAGCUCGCGGCCUAUCAGCUAGUUGGUGUGGGUAAUGGCCCACAAGGCGACGACGGGUAGCCGGCCUGAGGAGGGUGACCGGCCACACGUGGGACUGAGACACGGCCCAGACCUCCGUACGGGAGGNAGCG